CAAAAUGUAGCUUAACCAAAGCAUCACGCUUACACCGUGAAAAUAUUCGUAAAACCCGAAUCAUUUUGA
rnacentral:tRNA from 1 species